UCCAUCGUGGUGUAGUGGUCUAGCAUUCCAGACUCUCACACAGCCAAAGCGCCCCGUCUAGCCGCAUGUGGGCAUCGACUAGCAGAGCGUGGCAAGCUCACUGAUUUCUGGAGACCCGAGUUCGAUUCUUGGCGAUGGAA